AUGAAAUUUGCCACAUGGCUUGAUUGGCUUGCUCUCCAACACCCCAAUGCUCUUAUUAACCCACAAAGGAACCAGACCUUUCUCUACAGAACCAUUAACCAACAACUCCCCUUCCUACAUACCAUCUCCUUUGUUCUGACCAACUCGGGGACCAACACAUAUUUUUGGUUAGAUACUUGGCUACAUCAUAGACCACUUACAGAAUUGUUCCCCUACCUAUACUCACACACCACUCUCCCACUUGCUCGCGUGGCUGCUGUUCUGAAUCAAGCGGCAUACGAGCUCGCCCUGAGAGAGGACUCGGUGGACCUCCACUGCAUGCCUAUAUGGUCGUCACGAGUCCCCAAUUGGGUCAAGAUUUUUGCAUGGCACCUAUUUCGUGGUCGGCUAAACUGUAAGGCAGCAGAAUCACCACAGCAUCACCACCCUCAAGAACAUCUUACAAGACCUUAUGCUUUAGAUCCACCGGAUGAAGAAGCCAGAAGAAAAACAUGCCGCCUCCUCGUGGCGUUCUUACCUGUCCUCAUGUUCACACGUGGGGAGCUCCCCCCCCGCCCCCCGGUGAUUUCUGAUUUUCUCACUAUGAUUUACCUAAAAGAUUUAGUGAAGUCUGUUCAAUUGAUAAAGGCCACGAAAACCGCUGCUAACCCUAACAGCAACGCCGCCACCGCCGCCGCAGCCGCAUCCUGCAUCCACAAUGCCCAGCCCACCGCGGCUGCCCCAUUCCCCAACCACACCGCUUCCCUCACCGCCCCACCGUCGCCACCCUACUUCCACAUACGGCGCACGGCCCAUCCCCCAUCUUCGCCCCCACCCUCAUCCGCCACCCGCGCCGCCGUACGCCCCAUCCCCGAUCUUCGCCGCCGCGCCCGCGACCCCCAUCCCACGCUGCCACCCAUCCCCACCGACGCUGCCGCACCGGCAUCCCCCACCAACGCCGGCGCCCCAUACCUAUUCAGGCGGCCGCAGCAACAACCCUGCGGACACACCUACCACCUACGGCCCCCUGUUUCGCCCCUCACACAGCAGCACCACAUCUCCUCAGUACCUGCUCCAUACUGCGUAUCACAUCCUAUCCAUUUGCACUCCCCACAAAUCAGUGGGAGGACGUGCCCAUCUGAAGCAGCAGUAGCAGCAGAACAAGUAGCUACAGCACCGCUUACCUCUGUUUGUGCUCCCCCAGUUUCUGAAGAGUGUUCCUACAGAGUACCUCUUUGUUCUUCUAUUUCAGAUUGCAUAACACUUGUACUAAUUCUGAGAUCAUACUUCUUCUCACGAAAAGAAUGGCAAACAGAGGAGGAUGAGCUGAUGCUGCUAUGCAUGAAGAUUUGCGAACAGGGAAUGAAAGGCAACGCAUCAAAUCAGUCAUCUGUCAAAAUGCCUAAAUGCCGACUAAGAUCUGAGAUAAUAUCACUUACAAAGCAUGACUGGAGGACAUGGCUGCUGAAAACCUGA
rnacentral:rRNA from 1 species